CAGUAGGGAUCUUCCGCAAUGGACGAAAGUCUGACGGAGCAAUGCCGCGUGAGUGAAGAAGGUUUUCGGAUCGUAAAACUCUGUUGUUAGAGAAGAACAAGGAUGAGAGUAACUGCUCAUCCCCUGACGGUAUCUAACCAGAAAGCCACGGCUAACUACGUGCCAGCAGCCGCGGUAAUACGUAGGUGGCAAGCGUUGUCCGGAUUUAUUGGGCGUAAAGCGAGCGCAGGCGGUUCUUUAAGUCUGAUGUGAAAGCCCCCGGCUCAACCGGGGAGGGUCAUUGGAAACUGGAGAACUUGAGUGCAGAAGAGGAGAGUGGAAUUCCAUGUGUAGCGGUGAAAUGCGUAGAUAUAUGGAGGAACACCAGUGGCGAAGGCGACUCUCUGGUCUGUAACUGACGCUGAGGCUCGAAAGCGUGGGGAGCAAACAGGAUUAGAUACCCUGGUAGUCCACGCUGUAAACGAUGAGUGCUAAGUGUUGGAGGGUUUCCGCCCUUCAGUGCUGCAGCUAACGCAUUAAGCACUCCGCCUGGGGAGUACGACCGCAAGGUUGAAACUCAAAGGAAUUGACGGGGCCCCCCAACAAGG
rnacentral:rRNA from 1 species